UUGCACGCUGGCGGCAGGCCUCACCCCUGCCAGUCGAGCGGAUGAAGGGAGCUUGCUCCUGGAUUCAGCGGCGGACGGGUGAGUAAUGCCUAGGAAUCUGCCUGGUAGUGGGGGAUAACGUCCGGAAACGGGCGCUAAUACCGCAUACGUCCUGAGGGAGAAAGUGGGGGAUCUUCGGACCUCACGCUAUCAGAUGAGCCUAGGUCGGAUUAGCUAGUUGGUGGGGUAAAGGCCUACCAAGGCGACGAUCCGUAACUGGUCUGAGAGGAUGAUCAGUCACACUGGAACUGAGACACGGUCCAGACUCCUACGGGAGGCAGCAGUGGGGAAUAUUGGAUAAUGGGCGAAAGCCUGAUCCAGCCAUGCCGCGUGUGUGAAGAAGGUCUUCGGAUUGUAAAGCACUUUAAGUUGGGAGGAAGGGCAGUAAGUUAAUACCUUGCUGUUUUGACGUUACCAACAGAAUAAGCACCGGCUAACUUCGUG
rnacentral:rRNA from 1 species